rnacentral:rRNA from 1 species
UACGGGGGGGGGCAAGCGUUGUUCGGAAUUACUGGGCGUAAAGGGCUCGUAGGCGGCCAACUAAGUCGGACGUGAAAUCCCUCGGCUUAACCGGGGAACUGCGUCCGAUACUGGAUGGCUUGAGUUCGGGGAGAGGGAUGCGGAAUUCCAGGUGUAGCGGUGAAAUGCGUAGAUAUCUGGAGGAACACCGGUGGCGAAGGCGGCAUCCUGGACCGACACUGACGCUGAGGAGCGAAAGCCAGGGGAGCAAACGGG